AUGUCAUAUUGUACAAGAACAACAAUUCAUGUUGAUUGUAAAUGUGUUUGUUCUGCUACCUGAGCUGGUUGUUUUGACUGUGAUGAUGAUGAUGGUGUGUUGUCAGGUUGUUUUUCUAUUGUGUUUACGUCCACUGUGUCCCUACUACAGUACGUGGCUCCUGUUAUAGCUGCUAGCAUUGAAUAGGGAAGUCGUUCUGCGUCUCUGUAACAAAAGGCCUCCCUAUUCCCUAUUAACUGCACUACUUUGGACCAGGGCCCUAUGGGUCGUGGUCAAACGUAGUGCGCUAUGUAGGGAAUGAGGUGCAUUUUGGGAUGCAUCCUCAAUAUGUCUUGCUCCACAGAGGUCAGAGGUCAAGGGCCUGUUGGGAUGCAUCCUCAAUAUGUCUUGCUCCACAGAGGUCAGAGGUCAAGGGCCUGUUGGGAUGCAUCCUCAAUAUGUCUUGCUCCACAGAGGUCAGAGGUCAAGGGGCCUGUUGGGAUCCAUUCCAAUAGAAGUUGGUCAGUUCAGGAAAUAAACUGAAAUUCUAAUUCAAUAAUUACAAUUUUUUCUCAAUAAACUGAAAAUGAGAAGCUAUUUAUUUGAGAAAUGUUUUUCUGUUUUAAUUAGGAAUCAGAUGGUGUUAGAGUCGGGGGGGAGUUUUCAGAAAGGUAUUUUCUCGGUUGACGCUGUCAUCUAGAUGAUCUGCUGUGUCCAGUUUAAAUGAAUCCAUGUUAGUGUCGACGGACCACCGAGACACCACCUGUGCUAAUUAGAUAUCUAGUAUGCACCUGACACCUGUGCUAAUUAGAUAUCUAGCAUGCGCCUGACACCUGUGCUAAUUAGAUAUCUAGCAUGCACCUGACACCUGUGCUAAUUAGAUAUCUAGCAUGCACCUGACACCUGUGCUAAUUAGAUAUCUAUCAUGCACCUGACACCUGUGCUAGUUAGAUAUCUAGCAUGCACCUGACACCUGUGCUAAUUAGAUAUCUAGUAUGCACCUGACACCUGUGCUAAUUAGAUAUCUAGCAUGCGCCUGACACCUGUGCUAAUUAGAUAUCUAUCAUGCACCUGACACCUGUGCUAAUUAGAUAUCUAGCAUGCACCUGACACCUGUGUGUAAUGGAAGCAGACCGCCAGAAAACGUGUCGUCACUGAAAUAUUCUGUCGGCUGCAACUGUGAUAUAGCUGGUCAAAACGGUGUACAGCAGCAGUGUAAAAAAUGCAUUCUCAUACUUGAGUCAAAGUAAAGAUACUUUAAUAGAAAAUGACUCAAGUGAAAGUGAGUCACCCAGUAAAAUACUACUACAUGAGAAGGUCACAAAGCUCCUCUGCUCUCCAGGAACUGGACCUCUCUCCUGCUUCAGCAACACCUGGACGCUCUAUUAAUUUCAAACAAAAGUUUGUUCUUUGAGUUAAAAGUCUUUGGUUGUAAAUAUACAUCAGUAUAAAAAGUCAACAUAAUUGCUAAACUAUACUUACAGAUCAAAAGGUAAAAGUAUAAAUGACCGUGUUCUCUUGACCGUGUUCUCUUGACCGUGUUCUCUUGACCGUGUUCUCUUGACCGUGUUCUCUUGACCGUGUUCUCUUGAUAAGUGUAUAAAUUAGACCAUUUUCCUGUCCUGCUAAGCAUUCAAAAUGUACUUUUUGGGUGUCAGGGAAAAUGUAUGGAGUAAAAAGUACAUUAUUUUCAGGAAUGUAGUGAAGUAAAAAUAUAAAUAAAGUACAGAUACCCCAAAAACGUUUCACUGAAGGACUUCACACCACUUCAGUAAAUGUGUAUUUUACAUUUGUGAAAUUAUUUCGAUGUGAUAUGAAAGUGACAAGGGUUUUAUGUUUCUAGAAAUGUAUCGCAGUUGAGAAUCUGAUUCAUGUUUAGAUGGAGUGUCUGUUUUGGCUUCCAGUCUCCCUAUGAAAAUAACAGAAGGGCCUUGGACCUUAGAGUAACAUUAGGCCCCUUUAGAGGUCAUCUUGGGCCAGAUCUGGCCCUGUUGUAAAUCUGGCACCACCAUCCUCCACAUCUCAACCCUGGAAACAGAAACGAGGGGAGAGUCUGGACACCGAGGCCCUCCGUGAGACCGUUUGAACUACAUGAGAAGGUCACAAAGCUCCUCUGCUCUCCAGGAGCUGGACCUCUCUCCUGCUUCAGCAACACCUGGACGCUCUAUUCAUUUUAAACAAAAGUUUGUCCUUCUUCCUGUCUGUUUUGGUUGGUUUGAAGUGAGACUUCUUUGAAACAGACUGAUGAUGAUAACCAGUUUUGUCCUUUUCUUUCUGUACAACGUUAUGGAUCUGCUGUUAUAUUUUUUGUUCAGGUUAUGCCACGAUGUAAUAUUGAGAUUUUACAUUGUGCUUUUUUUUUGCUGUACAGAUGAACAUUUUGUCAAUUUAAUAAAAUUGUCUGCAUAUUUUUACCUCAUGGUGUCCAUGUUGGGUAUUUCAGAAUGACUGUUGGUGUCAUGCGAUAGGAAAGCAAUGUAUUUCAGAAUGACUGUUGGUGUCAUGCGAUAGGAAAGCAAUGUAUUUCAGAAUGACUGUUGGUGUCAUGCGAUAGGAAAGCAAUGUAUUUCAGAAUGACUGUUGGUGUCAUGCCAUAGGAAAGCAAUGUAUUUCAGAAUGACUGUUGGUGUCAUGCGAUAGGAAAGCAAUGUAUUUCAGAAUGACUGUUGGUGUCAUGCGAUAGGAAAGCAAUGUAUUUCAGAAUGACUGUUGGUGUCAUGCGAUAGGAAAGCAAUGUAUUUCAGAAUGACUGUUGGUGUCAUGCGAUAGGAAAGCAAUGUAUUUCUAACAGAUGUUUGUAUUGAAGACAACUGGAUAAGAGCAGUCUCUCCUUUCCUCAUAAAUGGAACAAUAUUAAUGUAUCGAAACAAUGACAUAUGUGGAUAUUUUUUGACAUUUUACUAGUACAGUAAUGACCAAUGACGUUUCGUGAAGAUCCUGUUCACGCAGCGCUCGGCGAUGGGAUCGUAAACAUUACCUCCGUACCUCCUUCAAUAUAAAAGUCCGGCAAUGAAGAUGGUGAAAAAUAAUAAAAAGGUCGAUAUGAGUUACUGUUUAUGGGGAAAUGUUAGCAAAUUUUGAAUUUUGUUUAACAAUAUAAAAAAAAGAUGGCAUUUAAGGCAAAAAUUAAUAUAGCAU
ensembl:lncRNA